CCGGGUCGGCGACUGCCCGAACCAAACCGUGCAUCAUAUCGUACUUUUUUCGUUUCGCUACGGCGGGUCGCUCGCUGGGGGAGCUGCUGGCCGGGAGGCCGGCCCGUCGAGGCGUCGUUUAGAACAACGCUGAAAGAGAACUUCGGAAGGUGCUACCGCGGCCUCAGGGCUCGGAAAAACCGUCA
rnacentral:misc_RNA from 1 species